CAAUUGGAAACCUAAAACUGUAGUCGGUACCAAACUGUUGCAUCAUGACUUAGUUUGAAUUCAAAAAAAUAUCAAUGAAUUAUUGCAUUUAUGGUACAGGCAGAAGGUUUGAUCUGAAUGUGUCAUUGCACAAAAGGCAAAACUUCCGCUGUGUCAUUGCAGAAUGGUUCUCUUCCGUAGGGUAUACACUGAAGACUUGCUGGUCUUACCUUUAUUUGGUUAGGUUUUCAUGGGAAUAGAUUAUACACAAUGGCGCAAUACACUCUGCUUAUGGUGAGCUUGUGCGUACCAUUUUAUUUUGUAGGUUUGUUUGUUUCUUUUUUUUGUUUCCAGCACCACAUAUGGCAUAGAAUUUCUUUAUCAUGGAUUAACCAUGUAUGAUGUUAACAUGGUAUCUUCUCAUUCGGUGCAUUGCAGAUUUGCCUGAGUGGUAGCAAGCUGCAUUGCAGAUUAAAGUUGGCAUGAUUGCUGCUAGUUGGUGAUAUCAAGGAUGAAGGUUGUGGAGCUGGUGGUCGAUUAAAUGUCUUACUGUUAUGUACUCUUUGUUAUGUACUCUUCAGUGAAACUUCUCCUAUGAGUGCAGGGUCUAUAUGUAAUCACCCACUUCCGGUGGAUAUUAUCUGUUGAGAGCGACAUCACCUGUAGACAAAUUGAUACUCAACAGUUUGCACGCCUGGGAGCCUCCAUGGUGCAGGUGGACGCGUGGAGCGGCGAAGGUUUGUGAGUCGGGGAAGAACACGGUGGUUAGCUUCAUAUGCCUCACUCGUUUUUCUGCUCCCAGCAGAUGAGUGCCUCUAUCUCCUCUUACCAUUUUUUUCUCAUUGUAUGGCGUAUCUCUAAUUAUAUAAUGGUGAAUAUUUUCAAUAUAUAUAUUGUUGCUAUUAUA